GGGCCCGCACAAGCAGUGGAGUAUGUGGUUUAAUUCGAAGCUACGCGAAGAAUCUUACCAGGGCUUGACAUCCCCAGAAUUUCCCAGAAAUGGGAAGGUGCCUUCGGGAGCUGGGUGACAGGUGGUGCAUGGUUGUCGUCAGCUCGUGUCGUGAGAUGUUGGGUUAAGUCCCGCAACGAGCGCAACCCUUGUCGUUUGUUGCUACAUUUGGUUGAGCACUCAAGCGAAACUGCCGGUGACAAAUCGGAGGAAGGUGGGGACGACGUCAAAUCAUCAUGCCCCUUAUGUCCUGGGCUACACACGUACUACAAUGGCCGACACAACGGGACGCCAAGUCGCAAGAUGGAGCAAAUCCCAAAAUUCGGUCCCAGUUCGGAUUGUAGGCUGAAACUCGCCUAUAUGAAGUUGGAAUUGCUAGUAAUCGCGAAUCAGAAUGUCG
rnacentral:rRNA from 1 species